rnacentral:rRNA from 1 species
AGUGAACGCUGGCGGCGUGCCUAACACAUGCAAGUCGAACGGGCUAGUGCUUCGCACUAGUCUCUUUCUGGGGUUGUUACUCUAAGGCUACCUGCUAAAGUUAUUGCUUUAAAGCAGGGGUUUUAGGAGACUUUCCCCGAAAGGGGCCAGUGCGGAGCACUGGCCAGUGGCGAACGGGUGAGUAACACGUGGGUAAUCUACCCUCGAGUGGGGAAUAAGCUUCCGAAAGGGGGUCUAAUGCCGCAUAACGUUUCAUAACGAUGGUUAUGAAACCAAAGCCCCAAAAGGCGCUCGAGGAGGAGCCUGCGUCCUAUCAGCUUGUUGGCAGGGUAAUGGCCUACCAAGGCUAUGACGGGUAGCCGGCCUGAGAGGGUGUCCGGCCACACUGGGGACUGAGACACGGCCCAGACUCCUACGGGAGGCAGCAGUGGGGAAUAUUGCACAAUGGGCGAAAGCCUGAUGCAGCGACGCCGCGUGAGGGAUGACGGCCUCGGUUGGUUAACCGUACUUCUACGCAGGAGG